rnacentral:tRNA from 1 species
GAGGGGAUAGCUCAGUGGUAGAGCACAUGCCUAGCAUGCACAAGGUCCUGGGUUCAAUCCCCAGUACCUCCA